UCUGGUUGAUCCCGGCGGAGGUCACUGCUAUUGGGAUUCGACUAAGCCAUGCGAGUCGUGAGGGUUCGGCCCUCGGCAGACGGCUCAGUAACACGUGGAUAAUCUACCCUUAGGUGGAGGAUACCCUCGGGAAACUGAGAAUAAUACUCCAUAGAUCUAGACUGCUGGAAUGCUUUUAGAUCGAAAGAUUUAUCGCCUAAGGAUGAGUCUGCGGACUAUCAGGUUGUAGUCAGGGUAAUGACCUGACUAGCCUACGACGGAUACGGAUAGUGAGAGCUUUAGCCCGGAGAUGAUAUCUGAGACACGAUAUCAGGCCCUACGGGGCGCAGCAGGCGCGAAAACUUCGCACUGUGCGAAAGCACGACGAGGGAAUCCCAAGUGCUGGCUCGUAAGAGUCAGCUGUUUCUCUGUCUAAAAAACAGGGAGAGUAAGGGCUGGGUAAGACGGGUGCCAGCCGCCGCGGUAAUACCUGCAGCCCAAGUGGUGGCCGCUAUUAUUGGGCCUAAAACGUCCGUAGCCGGUUCUAUAAAUGCCUGGGUAAAUCGUACGGCUUAACCGUACGAAUUCCGGGUAGACUGUUCAACUUGGGACCGGGAGAGGCUAGAGGUACUCCUGGGGUAGAGGUGAAAUUCUGUAAUCCUAGGGGGACCACCAGUGGCGAAGGCGUCUAGCUAGAACGGGUCUGACGGUGAGGGACGAAGCCCUGGGGCGCAAACGGGAUUAGAUACCCCGGUAGUCCAGGGUGUAAACGCUGCUCGCUUGAUGUUAGUCGGGCUUCGAGCCCAACUAGUGUCGGAGAGAAGUUGUUAAGCGAGCUGCCUGGGGAGUACGGUCGCAAGACUGAAACUUAAAGGAAUUGGCGGGGGAGCACCGCAACGGGUGGAGCGUGCGGUUUAAUUGGAUUCAACGCCGGAAAACUCACCGGGGGCGACGGUUAUAUGAAGGCCAGGCUGAUGACCUUGCCUGAUUUUCCGAGAGGUGGUGCAUGGCCGUCGUCAGUCCGUACCGUGAGGCGUUCUGUUAAGUCAGACAACGAGCGAGACCCA
rnacentral:rRNA from 1 species